CCUACGGGAGACAGCAGUGGGGAAUAUUGCGCAAUGGGCGAAAGCCUGACGCAGCGACGCCGCGUGAGGGAUGAAGGCUUUCGGGUUGUAAGCUUCUUUUGUCAGGGAAGAGUAGAAGACGGUACCUGACGAAUAAGCCACGGCUAACUACGUGCCAGCAGCCGCGGUAAUACGUAGGUGGCAAGCGUUGUCCGGAUUUACUGGGUGUAAAGGGCGUGUAGCCGGGUUGACAAGUCAGAUGUGAAAUCCUGCGGCUUAACCGCAGAACUGCAUUUGAAACUGUUGAUCUUGAGUACUGGAGAGGCAGAUGGAAUUCCUAGUGUAGCGGUGAAAUGCGUAGAUAUUAGGAGGAACACCAGUGGCGAAGGCGGUCUGCUGGACAGCAACUGACGGUGAGGCGCGAAAGCGUGGGGAGCAAACAGGAUUAGAUACCCUAGUAGUC
rnacentral:rRNA from 1 species